AUGGGGAUGGAACAAGGGCUCCGCGCGGCCGUGACCCUGCUGGAGUGCGGGGGGGACCUCCAGCCCCACGGGGGGUCCCUGCGCCUCCUCUGCCGAGGGGCUGGGUUCAGUUUUGGCAGUUUUGGCAUGCAAUGGAUCCGCCAGAGACCCGGGCAGGGGCUGGAGUGGCUCGCAGGGAUCUACAGCAGUGGCAGCACCGCGUACGCGCUGUCGGUGCAGGGCCGGGUCACGAUCUCCAGGGACAACGGGCAGAGCUCGGUGACGCUGACCAUGACCGACCUCCGGGACGAGGAUUCCGGAUCCUAUUUCUGUGCCAAAUCUGCUUAUGCUGAUUAUUGGAAUCCUGGUGCUAAUGGUGGUGACACCAGUGUGGAUCCCCACCCCCGCGCC